ACGCUGGCGGCGUGCCUAAUACAUGCAAGUAGAACGCUGAAGGAGGAGCUUGCUUCUCUGGAUGAGUUGCGAACGGGUGAGUAACGCGUAGGUAACCUGCCUGGUAGCGGGGGAUAACUAUUGGAAACGAUAGCUAAUACCGCAUAACAGUAGAUGUUGCAUGACAUUUGCUUAAAAGGUGCAAUUGCAUCACUACCAGAUGGACCUGCGUUGUAUUAGCUAGUUGGUGGGGUAACGGCUCACCAAGGCGACGAUACAUAGCCGACCUGAGAGGGUGAUCGGCCACACUGGGACUGAGACACGGCCCAGACUCCUACGGGAGGCAGCAGUAGGGAAUCUUCGGCAAUGGACGGAAGUCUGACCGAGCAACGCCGCGUGAGUGAAGAAGGUUUUCGGAUCGUAAAGCUCUGUUGUAAGAGAAGAACAGGUGUGAGAGUGGAAAGUUCACACUGUGACGGUAUCUUACCAGAAAGGGACGGCUAACUACGUGCCAGCAGCCGCGGUAAUACGUAGGUCCCGAGCGUUGUUCGGAUUUAUUGGGCGUAAAGCGAGCGCAGGCGGUUAGAUAAGUCUGAAGUUAAAGGCUGUGGCUUAACCAUAGUACGCUUUGGAAACUGUUUAACUUGAGUGCAAGAGGGGAGAGUGGAAUUCCAUGUGUAGCGGUGAAAUGCGUAGAUAUAUGGAGGAACACCGGUGGCGAAAGCGGCUCUCUGGCUUGUAACUGACGCUGAGGCUCGAAAGCGUGGGGAGCAAACAGGAUUAGAUACCCCUGGUAGUCCACGCCGUAAACGAUGAGUGCUAGGUGUUAGACCCUUUCCGGGGUUUAGUGCCGCAGCUAACGCAUUAAGCACUCCGCCUGGGGAGUACGACCGCAAGGUUGAAACUCAAAGGAAUUGACG
rnacentral:rRNA from 1 species